UCGGACGUGGUGCACGGUGCACGUCAGCCUCACUUGGAUUACAAUCUCGUAAUGGCUGAAGUCCGGGGUUCGACUCCCCGUGUCCGAA